AUUGAACGCUGGCGGCAGGCCUAACACAUGCAAGUCGAGCGGAUGAAGGGAGCUUGCUCCUGGAUUCAGCGGCGGACGGGUGAGUAAUGCCUAGGAAUCUGCCUGGUAGUGGGGGAUGACGUCCGGAAACGGGCGCUAAUACCGCAUACGUCCUGAGGGAGAAAGUGGGGGAUCUUCGGACCUCACGCUAUCAGAUGAGCCUAGGUCGGAUUAGCUAGUUGGUGGGGUAAAGGCCUACCAAGGCGACGAUCCGUAACUGGUCUGAGAGGAUGAUCAGUCACACUGGAACUGAGACACGGUCCAGACUCCUACGGGAGGCAGCAGCGGGGAAUAUUGGACAAUGGGCGAAAGCCUGAUCCAGCCAUGCCGCGUGUGUGAAGAAGGUCUUCGGAUUGUAAAGCACUUUAAGUUGGGAGGAAGGGCAGUAAGUUAAUGCCUUGCUGUUUUGACGUUACCAACAGAAUAAGCACCGGCUAACUUCGUG
rnacentral:rRNA from 1 species